CUUUUCUCACCGCAUAAUCUUAUCGCUUACCUGAGGCCCCGAGUCUGCUCAUCUUUCUUCAUUCUCGGUUCUUCAUUCUCGGUUUUCCCUCUCUUUGGUCUUGCUUACUGAUUUUUCUUUGGAAUUUCACUCCCAAUACAGAACAAUUUAUAUCUCUUGUGCUCAACCCAAAGUCAAUGUUUAUUUGAUUUCAACUCAAUUGAAUUCUUAGAUUUUCUUACUGUACCAAAUUGAUUAGUAUUCUGUUCAAUUAUUUCAGAGUUUCGUUAUGGAAAGCGUGGAGAAAACCAUGAAAGGACCAAUUUUAUUGCGAAUCUAGAUGUCAUAGGGUUAUCAGUUAUCAUGGGAUGUUACAGGGCAUGUGCUUGAAGGCGCCUUCAGCCAUUUUUGUAAAAAUAUCAUUGUUAGUUUCCAAAGGCCUAAGAGUGCUAUCAUGUUGAAAGAUGUUAGGAAUGGUUUUCUAUUUGGUAGACUCCCGAGCACCAACAGUUAGCGAGGUUAGCAUUCUACCUACAUGCAGAUAAUUAGAGGUUCCUAAAUUCAUCCAAGUACCAAGCUACAGUCUUACGAUUUAGUACGUACUACUGAAAUUUGACAAUCUUAAGAACACAUUCUGAGGAGGAAAAAGAGCUUGGAGGCAGAAGAUGAUGAUAGAUGAAAUUCAGUAGCCCUGCCAAAAGAUAAGUUUUAAAUGCUUUUUUGGAUGAUAGAUAAAAGAUGACUCGAUAAUUUCAACUGAUGUCUACAUUUCAGGGAAAUAAUCUGCAUGAAAGAAUUAGACCAAGUGAGAUGCGUCGUAACAUAAAAGGAAGCAACAUAUUGGUGGAAGUGCUUGAUGCCAAGGUCUCAGGAUUCAGGCUUAUAAAGGCCUCUUGAGAACAAUAUCCAUUCAAAGUUGGAUGAAAGGCAAUUUGAAUAUUUUUAUACCUUGAUGUUACAUGAGUUAUCCAGCAAUGGCAUGUAGUAUUGUUUAUAUUUGAUUUGAUAAUAACUUACAUGUACUAACUUUUAGUAUUUUCAAUUUCAUAUUAAAAUAAGGUUGAUAAAAAUUAUUGUUU